rnacentral:rRNA from 1 species
GACGAACGCUGGCGGCGUGCCUAACACAUGCAAGUCGAACGGAUGUAGCAAUACAUUAGUGGCGAACGGGUGAGUAACACGUAAGCGACCUACCCUCAAGACUGGUACAACUAGUCGAAAGAUUGGCUAAUUCCAGAUGUGGUCACGGAAUUUCCUGGUUCUGUGAUUAAAUCCCGCAAGGGGCUUGAGGAUGGGCUUGCGGCCUAUCAGCUAGUUGGCGGGGUAACGGCCCACCAAGGCAAUGACGGGGUAACUGGUCUGAGAGGACGACCAGUCACAAGGGAACUGAGACACGGUCCCUACUCCUACGGGUGGCUG